AAUAGAUACCCUGGUAGUCCACCCCGUAAACGUUGGGAACUAGUUGUGGGGUCCAUUCCACGGAUUCCGUGACGCAGCUAACGCAUUAAGUUCCCCGCCUGGGGAGUACGGCCGCAAGGCUAAAACUCAAAGGAAUUGACGGGGACCCGCACAAGCGGCGGAGCAUGCGGAUUAAUUCGAUGCAACGCGAAGAACCUUACCAAGGCUUGACAUAUAGAGGAAACGUCUGGAAACAGUCGCCCCGCAAGGUCUCUAUACAGGUGGUGCAUGGUUGUCGUCAGCUCGUGUCGUGAGAUGUUGGGUUAAGUCCCGCAACGAGCGCAACCCUCGUUCUAUGUUGCCAGCACGUAAUGGUGGGAACUCAUGGGAUACUGCCGGGGUCAACUCGGAGGAAGGUGGGGAUGACGUCAAAUCAUCAUGCCCCUUAUGUCUUGGGCUUCACGCAUGCUACAAUGGCCGGUACAAAGGGCUGCAAUACCGUGAGGUGGAGCGAAUCCCAAAAAGCCGGUCCCAGUUCGGAUUGAGGUCUGCAACUCGACCUC
rnacentral:rRNA from 1 species